UACAGGGGGUGCAAACGUUGCUCGGAAUUAUUGGGCGUAAAGCGCGCGUAGGCGGCUACCUAAGUCGGAUGUGAAAGCCCCCUGGCUUAACUGGGGAAGUGCACCCGAAACUGAGUAGCUAGAGUGCGAAAGAGGGUCGCGGAAUUCCCGGUGUAGAGGUGAAAUUCGUAGAUAUGGGGAGGAACACCGGUGGCGAAGGCGGCCACCUGGACGGUAACUGACGCUGAGACGCGAAAGCGUGGGGAGCAAACAGG
rnacentral:rRNA from 1 species